rnacentral:rRNA from 1 species
CCUACGGGAGGCAGCAGUGAGGAAUAUUGGUCAAUGGGCGGAAGCCUGAACCAGCCAAGUCGCGUGAGGGAAUAAGGCCCUACGGGUCGUAAACCUCUUUUGCCGGGGAGCAAGGGCGGGGACGUGUCCCGGCCCGGAGAGUACCCGGAGAAAAAGCAUCGGCUAACUCCGUGCCAGCAGCCGCGGUAAUACGGAGGAUGCGAGCGUUAUCCGGAUUUAUUGGGUUUAAAGGGUGCGUAGGUGGUUUGGCAAGUUGGUAGCGUAAUCCCGGGGCUCAACCUCGGUGCUACUACCAAAACUGUUGAACUUGAGUGCAGGAGGGGUGAAUGGAAUUCCCAGUGUAGCGGUGGAAUGCGUAGAUAUUGGGAAGAACACCAGCGGCGAAGGCGAUUCACUGGACUGUAACUGACACUGAGGCACGAAAGCGUGGGGAGCAAACAGGAUUAGAUACCCCAGUAGUC